UACGCUUAACUUGAAGUUUAAUGAUUUCAGUGUUAAUCUUAUCUAAAAUACACUUUAACAGUAACAUCCAGACACGUUUAACCAAAUAUCUGGAUACUGUGGCUUAGCCAAGUUGACAUAUAAAAUUAACCAUCACAGAAGGAAUACUGAUCAUUCAAGGAACAAAUUUAGCACAAUAUCUAACACACAAAGCUAAUCAUAAUAAUGAUAAUAAUAAUAAUAUAAUAUAGCUAUUAUUAUUUCUGCUGUUAUUCUUCUUUACUGAAUACCUACUCUUUUUUUUUUUUUUUUUUGCUGGGCAUCAGAUUAGGUUCUGAAGACAUGAGAAUUCACAAGAUACCAAUCUUUGUCCUCAAAGAACUUACAGUCUAAACACAGAUCCUAAUAAGCUACCUGACAGCAUUCUGAAUACUAUGAGAACAAAAGACUACUCUGAGGAAUAUGGGUUUGGAUAUUCUGAAGAAAGCUGAAGGACUUUGCACUUGUCAUCUGCCCUUUGUUGUUCACUUUCCACAUUUGUGAAAUGAAGAUAUUGGACUCAAUUCUCUUUGAAAGCCCUUGUCUUACUCUAAACUUCUGCAAUCCUGUGACUACUUUGUACAUAAUACAUUCUGGAGGGGGAUGGGGGAAUACUUUUGGCCCUACCACGUCAAUAAACUGAAAGCAAUAAGUAGUACCACCACCA